AUACGGAGGGUGCAAGCGUUAAUCGGUAUUACUGGGCGUAAAGGGCGCGUAGGCGGAUUAUCAAGUCAGAGGUGAAAGCCCUGGGCCCAACCCGGGAACUGCCUUUGAAACUAACAGUCUUGAGUCCGAGAGAGGAUGGCGGAAUUCCCAGUGUAGAGGUGAAAUUCGUAGAUAUUGGGAAGAACACCAGUGGCGAAGGCGGCCAUCUGGCUCGGUACUGACGCUGAGGCGCGAAAGCGUGGGGAGCAAACAGGAUUAGAUACCCCGGUAGUCC
rnacentral:rRNA from 1 species